rnacentral:rRNA from 1 species
CAAAAACUAGAGUCAGUGAGUACAGAAAACUUCAGUCGCUCCCUAGGGGAAUAAAGGAGAGCACGAUGAAGACCAAGUAUAUAACGUAUUUUAAGGCCCUGAAGUGAACUAUGUUCACCUAGUAGACCUCAAAACACGCUUAUGAAGGAUAGUACACUUAGUCACCAUCAACCAAAUUAACCGUUCUGAGUUUGAAGAGAGUAGACUCAAGUCUUUGUAAACAACGAACUCAGAAACCACAUGACGAAAGGAACUCAGAACGGUUCGGACCAAAGGGUAGUCAACAAAGAGGAGGUCGAAAGCCAACCUGGUAAGAGAGAAGACCAGAUUAGAGUAGUUAGAAAACUAGGAGGGAAGUCUUAUCAACAAAUUGCACUCGACAGGAUGAGACGAGUGUGACGUUAGAAGACUUCGAGAGAAGAGACCAAGAACAGACAAGAGGUUCGUAAACUCUCGAGGAGAGAGGAAUUCAAACCAACUAGACACCGGGACUUAAGACAGGAAAGUCCCGAUUUCGUAUAGGGAAAGACCGGUCUGAACUAUAAAGGGACUAAUGACCAUAACAAUUAACGGAUUAGACCACUUGGUAAAGACCAACACAAAGUGGAGAACACAAGAAGAGAACUAUGACUCGUGUUCUCUGGGUGACGUCACUACCGAGUUCGAACGGACGGUGGACCGAAAGCAAAGGUAGGUUGACUACAACUCGAACAAAGAAUGAUGAACUUUUCCUUCUAAUACCCCUUCUUUGAAAAACAACUUCGAUAAAGUCUCCAACUCGACAUGUUUAAACGAGGAACCCUGGAAGGACUAUUUAGGACAGAGGUCUCGUUUCUAGAACUCACCAAGAAGAAAACAGGGGCACUGUUUUUUAUAGGAUUUCCCAGAUCCUGCUUGGCACGGUGUGGUUUACCAAUAACCUUUUGUUCACCUUUUCUGUCUUGUUAACUCGACUUGAGAGCGUAACAACCCAACUUCUUUUGUAACUAAAAAGUACUUCCGUUCCGUGGGUUUCCGUUAUCCUGACUGACCCACUACAUACUUAUGUUUUACCUUCUACUUUGAAACCACAGACGACCAAAGAGAUUCCUACGAAUACAUGAGACGUUCUAUAAAUUUUUCUCACCCGAACCGGGUUCCUAGCCGCUCGUUAUACCCCGAGGAAAACUACUUUUACUUACCCUCUUAAAUCUACAACCUAGAAGAUAGAAGAGAAAACGUGGCAGCAGUCCACAUCUCCUAGGUGUCCAACUUUCAAGACGGAACCGAUGACGGUAUCAAUACGUCCUUGGUAGGCGAGGAGUCGUCAGACAAGUUAAAAGACUUGUACAAUUAUAGACAAGACUACUCCAGUUACUGCGCGGAGGACUUUAACUACCUUAUAACAACCUGCUUGACCGUUUCAAAAACCUACUAAGAGGCUUGCUACUACAUCAAAACGGUCUCUUAAGACCAGAGGGAGGUUACAGACUCGAACUCCGAGUUCGAAAACUCUAUUUAUGACGACUCGAGAUACUGGUUAACCGUCCUGAAAGGGUCAGUCCUCUAUACAGAUGACAUUUAAAGGGACGAUCGUUGCCCCUACAAUAACUUUUGUUAAACGUCGUUCGUUUGAGACCUGAACGAUACCUACUACUAAUAUAUCCCGACCUACUAGACGAACGAGGACCCCUUUGGAAGAGGAUACUAAAAAGACCACUUUGGAAAAGGAUACUAGACGGACCACCUUCGAAGAGGAUACUAAACAGACACGGUUUGUUAGUCAAAAACGACAUGGGUGAACUAGUUAGUUGAUCACCGUCAGUGAUGCCACAACCACGAUGAGUUAGUUGAAAGCUUCGUUCACCUUGAGAAGGUGGUUACGUUGGUUACGGUUCGUGAAAAUUACUGUACGGAAGACAAAGGUUAACGAACUUGGGUCGGUACUUUCUGGGUAAGAGAAUCUGUCGUUGAAAACUCCAUAUUCAGACAAUAGAAACACCAGUAACCACGACCUUCUACGACGGCAAAGACCAAACCAACGGGUAGUAACAGACUACUCCGAGAACCACCUAGAACCUACAACCAGGGACGACAUCUACCAGGUUGUUACCACAAACAUAGUACCGUACCGACGACGAGUUAACUUCUUCGGCCUUGAACCAACACAGAAACUAGUGCUCGUGUUAUGACCUGUUCACUGGCUCGAAUCGAAUGACGAAAUGGCGCCUCCUUGACAAAGACGACCAAACCUUCUACAGAAUAGACCCACCCCUACGACGUCAGGUGGCAUCAAGAAAGACAUUAUUGACGGUACAAUCUACGGCUCAACAGGUAUUUGGAUUACUGUUGAAGCAUCGAAUUCAGCGUAGAAGAUAGAUAAAAGACGGUUAAAUGACAUAAACUUGGUAGCAGUAAUAAUAAUAAUAACAUUAGCACGGGUUAUGGCACAAAUACAAGAACAGCUGCGUUACAAAGAAGGAAAAAAAAGCUAUAUAU